GUUCUCUUUUCUUCUUGACGGCCUAUCACCCUGAAAUCGGUUUGUCCGGAGCUAGGGUUCAAUGGCUGGAAGAGCGCUGCACUUUUGCGGCGUUUGGUGCGCUCCCGACGAGCCUUGAAAAUCCGCUUGAAGAAAUAGUUUUUACGCCAGGUCGUACUCAUAACCGCAGCAGGUCUCCAAGGUGAACAGCCUCUAGUUGAUAGAACAAUGUAG
rnacentral:rRNA from 1 species